UAAGGAAUAUUGGACAAUGGAGGCAACUCUGAUCCAGCCAUGCCGCGUGAAGGAAUAAGGCCCUAUGGGUUGUAAACUUCUUUUAGACGGGACAAAACCCCUUUACGUGUAAAGGGUUGAUGGUACUGUCAGAAUAAGCAUCGGCUAACUUCGUGCCAGCAGCCGCGGUAAUACGAAGGAUGCAAGCGUUAUCCGGAAUUAUUGGGUUUAAAGGGUGCGUAGGCGGACUAAUAAGUCAGUGGUGAAAGCCUGCAGCUUAACUGCAGAAUUGCCAUUGAUACUGUUAGUCUUGAGUACAGCUGAGGUAGGCGGAAUGUGUCAUGUAGCGGUGAAAUGCUUAGAUAUGACACAGAACACCGAUUGCGAAGGCAGCUUGCUAAGCUGUAACUGACGCUGAGGCACGAAAGCGUGGGGAGCAAACA
rnacentral:rRNA from 1 species